UACGUAGGGGGCUAGCGUUGUCCGGAAUCAUUGGGCGUAAAGAGCGUGUAGGCGGCCCGGUAAGUCAGCUGUGAAAGUCGGGGGCUCAACCCUCGAAUGCCGGUGGAUACUGUCGGGCUAGAGUGCGGAAGAGGCGAGUGGAAUUCCUGGUGUAGCGGUGAAAUGCGCAGAUAUCAGGAAGAACACCUAUGGCGAAGGCAGCUCUCUGGGACGGUACUGACGCUGAGACGCGAAAGCGUGGGGAGCGAACAGG
rnacentral:rRNA from 1 species